rnacentral:tRNA from 1 species
CAAGACGUAGCUACAAACCCAAAGCAUUCAGCUUACACCUGAAAGAUGUCUACUAGAUCAUAGACCGUCUUGA